GGACGGACACCACCCCACGCUCACGGGUCCUCUGGCGGUGUCCUUUGAGCUGCCGGGACGGCGCAAGGAACCUGUUUAUGCACCCUCCUGCAAUCCCACCACCUGCCCAGGCCAAGUGAGCCCCUCUCCGCUACUGGUGUUUCAUAAUGCUGGGAGCUACUUUGAUUUCAUGCAUUGCCCUUCAGGUGCCAUGUUAUGAGGACACUUGGAGAAAGCUACAGGAGAGGAACUGAGGUCUCCUGCCAUCAGCCACUUGAGUGAGCAUGGGAGUGGAUUCUCCAAACUCCAGUUAAGACUUGAGAUGUCCACAGUGGCAGCCACUAGCUUGACUGCAACUUACGAGAGACCCUGAGCCAGAGGCACUCAGUUAAGUCAUACACAGUUUCCUGACCCGUAAAACCUGUGACACAAUGAAGGUUUGUUGUUUUGGGGGUAAUCCGUUAUUCAGCAAUAGAUAACGAAUACAGAAGGCUUGUAAUUGUAUAACCAACGUGAGUUUAUAAGCGGAUAUCUGACCUCAUUUGUUUUCUCCUGAAAAAGUUAUAGAAAAAUCACAAGACUGCAAGUCACUCUCUCUCUUUCUUUUGUGGGGAAUAAACAAGUAUAAUUACAAUUUCUAAACCUAUUGUUUUAUUCUCAAAUAUAAUUACAAUUUAAACAGGAUAUUGUAGAGCUCCAUCAUAGGGAUUAACACUAAUUAGAAUUAAAGAACGUUUUUGUGAAA
rnacentral:lncRNA from 10 species